AACGCUAGCUACAGGCUUAACACAUGCAAGUCGAGGGGCAGCGCAGUGUAGCAAUACAUGGGCGGCGACCGGCGCACGGGUGCGUAACGCGUAUCCAACCUUCCCGUUACUCAGGGAUAGCCUUCCGAAAGGGAGAUUAAUACCUGAUGGUGUUCAAAUUUCGCAUGUUAUUUGAACUAAAGAUUUAUCGGUAACGGAUGGGGAUGCGUGACAUUAGGUAGAUGGCGGGGUAACGGCCCACCAUGCCUACGAUGUCUAGGGGCUCUGAGAGGAAGGUCCCCCACACUGGAACUGAGACACGGUCCAGACUCCUACGGGAGGCAGCAGUGAGGAAUAUUGGUCAAUGGCCGGAAGGCUGAACCAGCCAAGUAGCGUGAAGGAUGAAGGUUCUAUGGAUUGUAAACUUCUUUUAUACGGGAAUAAAACGUCCCACGUGUGGGAUCUUGUAUGUACCGUAUGAAUAAGCAUCGGCUAACUCCGUGCCAGCAGCCGCGGUAAUACGGAGGAUGCGAGCGUUAUCCGGAUUUAUUGGGUUUAAAGGGAGCGUAGACGGGGGAUUAAGUCAGUUGUGAAAGGCUGCGGCUCAACCGCAGCACUGCAGUUGAUACUGGUUCCCUUGAGUGCGGUUGAGGUAUGUGGAAUUCGUGGUGUAGCGGUGAAAUGCUUAGAUAUCACGAAGAACUCCGAUUG
rnacentral:rRNA from 1 species